GGUCCAGACUCCUACGGGAGGCAGCAGUGGGGAAUAUUGCACAAUGGGGGAAACCCUGAUGCAGCGACGCCGCGUGAGCGAUGAAGUAUUUCGGUAUGUAAAUCUCUAUCAGCAGGGAAGAAAAUGACGGUACCUGACUAAGAAGCCCCGGCUAACUACGUGCCAGCAGCCGCGGUAAUACGUAGGGGGCAAGCGUUAUCCGGAUUUACUGGGUGUAAAGGGAGCGUAGACGGCGAUGCAAGCCAGAUGUGAAAGCCCGGGGCUCAACCCCGGGACUGCAUUUGGAACUGUAUAGCUAGAGUGUCGGAGAGGCAGGCGGAAUUCCUAGUGUAGCGGUGAAAUGCGUAGAUAUUAGGAGGAACACCAGUGGCGAAGGCGGCCUGCUGGACGAUGACUGACGUUGAGGCUCGAAAGCGUGGGGAGCAAACAGGAUUAGAUACCCCCGUAGC
rnacentral:rRNA from 1 species